AUACCUUAGAAUCUUAUUUAAUUAAAGUUAAUAAAAACAUUAAUAUACCCGCUGCUAAAUUAACUAUCAAACUUAAAGUACUGUAAAGGAACUUAACAAUAAAUUAAAGUAGUGAAUUUUUCACGUACCUUGUGCAUUAUGGUUUUACAAGAUAAAAAUUAAAAAUUAAUUCCCGAAUUCUAUGCGAGCUGCCACUAUAUAGCUCAGAGCCCACUAUUGGCUGUAGCAUCAACCUUAGAAAAUAUAGUGGCAGAGGCUACAUACCACACGCGCUAGAAAAUUGCUGGUUCUCAAUAAAAUUUAUAUAUUAAAACAUGCAGUUUAUCCGCAAUGUAAGACUCUAGAGGAUAAGCCCUAAAGUCUAAAGCUAGAUUAAACCUUAAAUAAACAGAUAGGCUUAAAAACAGCCAUUAUCACUACCUUACCGUACUAAUUAAAACAAUAUCUAAACUAUACGCUGCCCGAAUAAAUUGAGAUUUAAGCUAAACCUCAAAUCUUAAAAUAUUAUGUAAAAAUAAGUAUUAGUAAUUUAAUAUCUACACCUAUAGACCCUAUCAAAAAUAAACACUUAAUCACUUAUAAAGGAACUCGGCAAAUAUUUAUUU
rnacentral:rRNA from 1 species